rnacentral:pre_miRNA from 1 species
UGUCACUUGUCGAACUGGCGCAGUUCGACAGGUACCCUGUCGAACUGUGGCUAUUCGAUAGGUGUCCUGUCGAACCACGGUUGUUCAACACGGUG